CCUCAGCAGGCUGCCUGGGGCUGCAGGCUGGGCUGGGCAUGUAUCUCUCUAAAAGGCUCACCCUCAAGCAUGACUAGGAAC
rnacentral:pre_miRNA from 1 species